rnacentral:rRNA from 1 species
UACGGAAGGGGCAAGCGUUGUUCGGAUUCACUGGGCGUAAAGGGUGCGUAGGUGGCCAGGUAAGUUCGGUGUGAAAGCUCGGAGCUUAACUCCGAAAUGUCAUUGAAUACUAUCUGGCUGGAGGGUCGGAGGGGAGACUGGAAUUCUCGGUGUAGCAGUGAAAUGCGUAGAUAUCGAGAGGAACACCAGUGGCGAAGGCGAGUCUCUGGACGACUCCUGACACUGAGGCACGAAAGCCAGGGGAGCAACAGG